AUUGAACGCUGGCGGCAUGCCUUACACAUGCAAGUCGAACGGCAGCGGGGACUUCGGUCCGCCGGCGAGUGGCGAACGGGUGAGUAAUGUAUCGGAACGUACCAUUCAGUGGGGGAUAACUAUCCGAAGGGAUAGCUAAUACCGCAUAUUCUGUGAGCAGGAAAGCAGGGGAUCGCAAGACCUUGCGCUGAUUGAGCGGCCGAUAUCAGAUUAGCUAGUUGGUGAGGUAACGGCUCACAAAGGCUACGAUCUGUAGCGGGUCUGAGAGGAUGUGCCGCCAAACUGGGACUGAGACACGGCCCAGACUCCUACGGGAGGCAGCAGUGGGGAAUUUUGGACAAUGGGCGCGAGCCUGAUCCAGCCAUGCCGCGUGAGUGAAGAAGGCCUUCGGGUUGUAAAGCUCUUUCGGCCGGGAAGAAAUCGCAUCAGCUAAUACCUGGUGUGGAUGACGGUACCGGAAUAAGAAGCACCGGCUAACUACGUGCCAGCAGCCGCAGUAACAC
rnacentral:rRNA from 1 species